rnacentral:tRNA from 1 species
CCCCCCAUAUUCCUAGCGGUCCAAGGAGCUCCGGCGAUGUGAGACACGUGGGUUCGAAUCCCACUGGGGGGA